CAUCAUUGGAGACUCCAAUGUGUACAAACUUCCAGCCCACGACAUCGAGGAUCUGCAGGUGGAUGCUUUUCCAGGGGGCACCUUCAGGAACGCAGAUCUCCUGAUGCACAAGACGACCUCUGAGGUCACGGUGCAGAAGGUCAUUUUGGCCUUCGGCAUUAACAACCGUGUCCAAAAAACGCAGGAGACGGCCAUCAAACAGCUGCAGAGGGCCCUCAGAAGCGUUCAACUGACUUUUCCAUCUGCUGACGUUUUUGUGCCACAGGUCAACUUCUCCGGAGAUCUUCCCCCGAAGGAGAAACUGCGCCUCACACAUCUCAACACUGCUAUUGCAAAAAUGUGUGAGUACAUCCCAGCGCUGCCAGCAGGUCUCUUCCACACAGGUCCGGAUAACAUUCACUGGACCCGAGCCACAGCGGCCCGCAUAUUUGACCAUUGGGUGCACUACUUAAACUAAUUGUCCCCAUAAACCUGCCUACUCAGGAGGGGGAUAAGUUAGUCAUCAACCUCACUAAGAACUUUAAACUCACUGAAGCACAGCGCACUCUCCUUGGCAGGGGGUUAAAUUUCAUUCCCACUAAGGGAACUAAUAAACAGAUUGUAGAGCAGAGCCGCUUUGAUCUACAGCAGUAUCACAGGAGGUUAAAGCUGGCG
ensembl:lncRNA